AGUAACGCGUGGGUAACCUGCCCUUAAGUCUGGGAUACCAUUUGGAAACAGAUGCUAAUACCGGAUAAAAGCUACUUUCGCAUGAAAGAAGUUUAAAAGGCGGCGUAAGCUGUCGCUAAAGGAUGGACCUGCGAUGCAUUAGCUAGUUGGUAAGGUAACGGCUUACCAAGGCGAUGAUGCAUAGCCGAGUUGAGAGACUGAUCGGCCACAUUGGGACUGAGACACGGCCCAAACUCCUACGGGAGGCAGCAGCA
rnacentral:rRNA from 1 species